rnacentral:lncRNA from 1 species
GAACACUCAGACGCAGGAAACAGCAGCAAGCAAGAGGUAACAUAGGGAGAGAUCAGUGUGUGUGACAGAAAGACCUGGGAUGGCAGGUAACAGACUGCAUCCGCUCACACACUCAGGAACCUGCAGCUCUUACACCUGCCCGCUGAACAACAGGCUCCCUAGGCAGGCAGCCUGGUGGUCCGGAGUGCGGCCUCUGGUAUCCACCUGAGUCUGCUCAGGGAGCGUUCCAACGAGCUCAGCAACUUCAAAUUGCUGCCUGUUUUGAGAACCUGGGGAGAAGCCCUGGGAGCCUCCCGCCCAACCCCAGGAGGUCACUGUUGCAAGAGCCGGUUCAGAAGACAGGUUUUGAUGAGUAAAGGUUCAAAAUCUCCCUCCCACUCCACCAAGAGAACAAAGGAAGGGAGCCAGGAAGGGACUUAGCCGCAAGUUUUAAGGUUUCGCAGCUUUGUCAGCCUGAGUGGUAGGGUCCAGACGCGCCUGGAUCUGAUCAGCACGUUGGACAGCGCUCCCUCGCCCGAGGGCUCUUUGUUCGCGCAGUCAGGACUGGCACUCGACAGUCCCCGAGCCUGGCGGGAGAGGCGAUUCCAAACCAAGUCUCCCAGCCUUGCGUGUAAGUGACAGCAGCAAGGUGUCAUGAAAACUUUCCCUCUUACACAAGGGGAAACUGUCAGGAUUUUUUUAAAUCAUAAAAUAUUUCCUUUGCCAUAAUUAAGCAAGGAGCGCAUUGUUCCUCUAAGCUUUAUUUCAUAAAAGAUCUGUGAGGAGGAUACUUGU